CACACACACACACAGCAGUGUAUGUGUGUGUGUAUAUAUGUGUAUAUAUAUAUAUAUAUAUAUAUAUAUAUAUACACAUAUAUACAUACAUACAUAUAUAUACGCGGCGUGUGCUUGUGCUUU
rnacentral:miRNA from 1 species